rnacentral:rRNA from 1 species
AUCGAACGCUGGCGGCAGGCCUAACACAUGCAAGUCGAACGAACCUUUCGGGGUUAGUGGCGGACGGGUGAGUAACACGUGGGAACGUGCCUUUAGGUUCGGAAUAACUCAGGGAAACUUGUGCUAAUACCGAAUGUGCCCUUCGGGGGAAAGAUUUAUCGCCUUUAGAGCGGCCCGCGUCUGAUUAGCUAGUUGUUUGAGGUAAUGGCUCACCAAGGCGACGAUCAGUAGCUGGUCUGAGAGGAUGAUCAGCCACAUUGGGACUGAGACACGGCCCAAACUCCUACGGGAGGCAGCAGUGGGGAAUCUUGCGCAAUGGGCGAAAGCAUGACGCAGCCAUGCCGCGUGAAUGAUGAAGGUCUUAGGAUUGUAAAAUUCUUUCACCGGGGACGAUAAUGACGGUACCCGGAGAAGAAGCCCCGGCUAACUUCGUG